CUUCAUGAAGAAAAUCGGAAGGUUAACAAUCAUGUGAGCCGAAUGGAAGAAGAGUGGGCACAAAUAAAGAAGUGUGAGUGCUAAUUGUAGCCAACAUGAAUAGCCAGUAUCUGGUAGGGAUCAGGAUGGAGAAGAUUAUUAGAAGCAAGACAAGUGAAUGGUUCUUGAGGAGGCCUCUUGCUGCUAGGAUUAGCCUUAAGUUAGUCUCUGCUAGUUUCUGUCCUGGACAGAUUGUUUUUUCUCUUUCAGAAAGAAACAUCUUCAAGUACUGUGAUUUACAAUUAUGUUUGUUUUUGUAAAUUUAUUUAUUUUACUUGCAUUCUCCUUUUAAAAGGUAUGUGGUCGUUGCACGUGGUACAAAGUGGUGCCAAUGUAAAAACAUUACCUAUACCAAUGUGGUUGCUAAAGUUGUUGAAGUGGUCGUUAA